GAUGAACGCUGGCGGCGUGCCUAAUACAUGCAAGUCGAGCGAACAGACCAGGAGCUUGCUCCUCUGACGUUAGCGGCGGACGGGUGUGUAACACGUGGAUAACCUACCUAUUAGACUGGGAUAACUUCGGGAAACCGGAGCUAAUACCGGAUAAUUUAUUGAACCGCAUGGUUCAAUAGUCAAUGACGGUUUUUCUGUCUCUUAUAGCUGGAUCCGCGCCGCAUUAGCUAGUUGGUAAGGUAACGGCUUACCAAGGCAACGAUUCGUAGCCGACCUGAGAGGGUGAACGGCCACACGGGAAGUGAGACACGGACCAGACUCCGACGGGAGGCAGCAGUAGGGAAUCUUCCGCAAGGGGCGAAAGCUGGACGGAGCAACGCCGCGGGAGUGAUGAAGGUAUUCGGAUCGUAAAACUCUGUUAUUAGGGAAGAACAAAUGUGUAAGUAACUAUGCACGUCAUGACGGUACCUAAACAGAAAGCCACGGCUAACUACGUG
rnacentral:rRNA from 1 species